UACGAAGGGUGCAAGCGUUACUCGGAAUUACUGGGCGUAAAGCGUGCGUAGGUGGUUCGUUAAGUCUGUCGUGAAAGCCCCGGGCUCAACCUGGGAAUGGCGAUGGAUACUGGCGAGCUUGAGUACGAAAGAGGAUCGCGGAAUUCCCGGUGUAGAGGUGAAAUUCGUAGAUAUCGGGAGGAACACCAGUGGCGAAGGCGGCGAUCUGGGUCGAUACUGACGCUGAGGUGCGAAAGCGUGGGGAGCAAACAGG
rnacentral:rRNA from 1 species